UUUUUUCAGACAAGGUUUCUCUAUGAAACAGCCUGGUCUAUAGAGUGAGUUCCAGGACAGCUGAUACUUCACAAAGAAACCCUGUCUCCAAAAAAACCCAAAAGGGUGUGUAGUUAAUUGGGCAUAAGUUAUAGGCAAAUGCCAUACAUUUUAGGUAAGGGAAUUGGAACCCUUGUGACUUUUAGUGUCCCCGGAACCAAUACCUAUAUGGAUAGGAAAACAUAGUGGUCUGUAUAAGUAACAAAGUCUAAGAGGCAGCUCAGUGGUUAAGAGUACUGGCUCCUCUUGUAGAAGACCUGGGUUUGUUUCUCACCAUCCACAUGGUAGCUCACAACUAUCAGUAACUCUGCUUCCAGGGGAUUCUAUCCCUUCUGACCUCUAAGGGCACCAGGCACACACAUAUUAACGCAUAUAUUUAUUUAUGCACACAAAACACUCAUAAAAAUAAAGAAAUCUAAUUUAAUAAACAAGGUAUAAUAAUGACUUUUAAAUGUAAACUUUAUUCCUACGGUUGUAAAAUCUGUGAGCUCUGUUUUCCCUCCUUCCAAUUGUUACCCAUCCUUGAUUUUAAUGUUCCUUAUUAAAUUUCUCAUCUCACCUCUGCUUCCCCAUCUCUCUGUUUCAGGCACUGAAUUGCAUUAUGGAAAUGGUAGAGAAAACUAGGCGCUCCAUGGCAGUUCUGAGGCGCUGUCAGGAAUCUGACCGUGAAGAACUCAACUAUUGGAAACGGCGGUUUAAUGAAAAUACAGAGUUGAGGAAAACUGGGACUGAGUUGGUCUCUAGGCAGCACAGCCCUGGGAGUACAGAUUCUCUCAGCAACGGUAAAUAUAGAGGGGGAACAUAGAACAUAGAAACAACAGCAGCUUCGAUUCUACCUAAACUGAGUUUUAUGUCUUUGUUCUGUGGCAUUUAUUUGGUUUGGUUUGGUUUUUGAGACUCUUACUAUGGAGUUUAAGCUGGACUCGAGCCUCCUGCUUCAGUCUCCCAAGUGCUGGAAUAAAGGAUAUGGACCACCUUGCCCAACUACACUUAUUUAGUGGAUGUGGGUGUGUGAUGUUUGUGGAGAGAAUAUUUCCUCCCACCAGCUCCUUUAUGUUUACUUUAAAAACAAUUGGGGUGUAUGUAUGUGUGUAUGUAGGUCAGAGGACAACUUACAGGAUUCAGUAUUCACUCAGUGUGUAUUCCUGUUCUUACCUGUUGGCGAUCACUAUGCUUCCCAUAAUUCCUUCCAUAAGGUUUGCUGACACUGCUCACAGGCUCAGGGAAGCAAGCUUAUGUGUUUAAAAAGGAUACACAUGAAGAGAUGCAAAACACACGGUCUGGGACACAGGACUUCUCUAGACUUGCCACACUGAAGAAUUGUACAUUUCUGCUAACCAGCUUUCUGGAUCCUCCAUCUUAUGGCUGUGUCCUUGCAGUUGAAUUAUAAUGGACUGGAUGGGGAAACAAAGGAUGGCCUGAGUGCAUUGGUGGUUUUGGCUGUGCUGCAGAAUUCCUUCUUUAGGGGAUGAGGCAGGACCCUCUCUCUAUUAUCACAGAGGCAUACAUCAAGCAGGUUUGAUACUGUUGGACUUGGUUUUGUUGUUCAUUUUCUGGGUUGGUUUUCAAGAUGUUUCUCACUCUGUAGCGCUGACACAAACUUGCCUCAGCCUGCCACUGCUGAGUGAGAUUACAGCCCACAGCUAAUCCUGUGAUUUUUGUUAUGUCCAAUCCCAGUCUAGAAAGCUUUGGUAGGGGGUGCACACAGGCCAGAGCUUUUGUACCCUGCCUUGAGGAGGAGAAAUUUAGGCUCCAAUGGAGAAGAUUAGUAGCCAGAAAAAUAGGUGACAUCUGAACUUUGGUGACUGGAUGUAUCCUAACGAUGACACUUGCCCUCCUGAGCAGUGGCCUGGCUUCAGACCAGCAGUACAAAAGAUCAGUAAGAGAGAAAGAAGAGAGUACUAUGUAUGUCACAUCACUCCUAGCUACUUGGAUGGUUGUGUUCACCAUAUUCCUUCUUGAAGGUAUUUACUCCACUUUGCUUUCUUUUCCCAGUUACCCUCCACUACCUAGAGACUGUCUUCAAAAGACUAGCUUAGACAAAGCUAGGUUAUUCAUAUUGAAGCAUCAGAGAUGAGCGGGUACAUCCAGGAAGCCAGAGAUAUCCCACCCAAAAUGUUCCAUCACUUUCCCCAGAAGCUGAAAAAAUGCCCUAUCCGAAAGGCACAGCUGAAUGACAGGCCAUCUGUGAUCACACUCUUUUUCCACCCACCCACUUAAAGUUCCCAAAUGUUCAUCAAGGAGAGUGAAUUUCUUAUUUCAGUGCUAGCAUUUUCCAUGCAAGACAGCUGUUAGUCUCAAAAGGACUGGAAGAAAAUUUAGAGGAAAUGCCAGCAUUAAUAAUGUGUAUCCUAUCCUAAAUAGCUAAAGGCUGCCACUCUUUCCUCAUUGACAGGCAUGGCUCUUAAGCCAACCGUCAGUUGUUCUAUUUUAUGUGAGAUGAUCUAGGACAGGAAGAAACAAACAACUUACAUACUGACACAGACACAAAACUUUGAUUAAAAACUUCAAAACCGGGGCUGGAGACAUGACUCAGCGGGUAAGAGCACUGGCUGCUCUUCCAAAGGUCCCGAGUUCAAUUCCCAGCAACCACAUGGUGGCUCACAACCAUCUGUAAUGAGAUCUGAUGCCUUCUCCUGAUGUAUCUAAAGGCAGCUACAGUGUACUUAUGUAUAAUAAUAAAUAAAUCUUUUAAAAAAAACUUCAAAACCAGUGGAGGCUAAUUAUCAGGUAACCCUUACAAAUCUGAACCCUUGCAAAGAUUCCCUGCAGCAACAUAGAGACCCUUCCUUGCCUGAAGUUCAACAUUACAGUUACAUAUACUCAUCCAUGAGUGUACGUGUGUCCAGCUGAGGUAGAGUGCAGCCUGACAGGACUCAACUGCCCCGCACAAACCACCCUUAACUUGAGGGUCUAGCUGGGAUGACGAUUUUGUCUAAUGUGCCUGCGACAGUUCUUCUUUGUUUCUAUGACCUGUCGUAAUAGUAACCAGCACCUCCUUUUCACAAUGAUGACAAUUUAUAUGAUAAAUUCUAAUUACUGUAGAUGUAGUGCUUCAUGGAUCCCAGUGGCUUGUAUUAAAAUUUUGAGAUUACCAACAUGUCUGAUUUAAAUUGUGUCAUUUGUCUGGGAUGUAGCUUCGUUGACAUAGUGUUUACUUAAGAUACACUGAGCCCUGGGCUUAAUCUCUAGCUCCAAAUAAACUGGAUAUGGUCUUAGUGCACACCUGGGAUUCCAGCAUUUGUUAGGUAGAGAGUUUCAGAAGUUGGAUAUUAGCCUGGGCUUAGGAAGGGGAGGAAAAGAAGGGAAAACUUGAGUGGGUAGGCGCUGAAGAGAUGGCUCAGUGCCAGGCAUUGGAGGUGCACGCCUCUAAUCCCAGUACCCAGCAAGCAAAGAUAGGCAGAUCUCUGUGAGUUGGAGAACAGCCUGGUGUACAUAGUUAACUUCCAGGAGAGCCAGGGCUGUUACACAG
rnacentral:lncRNA from 1 species